UUAGAUUGCUGCAACUGUGUGAGAGUUUGGAAUUAAUAACUACAAUGUUGUCGACUUUCGAUGAAAACAUGAAAUAUUUUGGUCUUUUGAAGUAGAUCUCGAUGUUGAGGUGCUUGGAUAUAGUGUGCACCACACUGUGCGAAGGGGCUAGAGGAUACAGGGCUCCGAGAAUUUCUAAAUCUACGCGAGCUGGACUUGUCUUCCCGGUGGGAAGAUUUCGAAGACGUCUAAAAACGGGCAAUUAUUCUGAUCGCAUUGCGAUAAAGGCUGCUGUUUAUAUAGCAGCUGUGAUAGAAUAUGUUACGGCAGAUAUCAUGCAUUUGGCUGGAAAUGCUGCAAAGGAAAACAGGAGGAAAAGAAUCAACGAACGACACCUUCAGCUUGCCAUUCUCACGGACUGUGAGUUGAGUGAACUGCUGAAAAACGUAACUGUUCGAGGUGGAGGCGCUUUGCCGCUCGAUCACCGUUGUUAUUUUUCAAAAUUUUGACAGGCUGCCCCUGAUACAAACUUCCCUUUGGGAUGACACACUGGCGUUGAUGUGUAGUUCCACUGAAACUGGGCAGGAGCAAGUCAAUGAUCAAUUUUCAUGAAAUGCAAACUUAAAAAGGACUAUCAUUGGAUCAUGGAACAAAGCAAAAAUUUGAAUUGCAUAAUAAGUGCAUGGAACAAUGUAAAAAUACACCUUUAUACUGACAUUGUACAGAGUUUUUAAAUGAUCACUACUUAAUUUGAUCAUUUGUAAAUACUGACUGCCACUCAGUUUUUCAAAUUGGCUUUAACAAGAAACCUCAUGUUUGUGUAAAAAUAUUAAAAUAAUGUAUAUAUGA